rnacentral:rRNA from 1 species
GACGAACGCUGGCGGCGUGCCUAAUACAUGCAAGUCGAACGCUUCUUUCCUCCCGAGUGCUUGCACUCAAUUGGAAAGAGGAGUGGCGGACGGGUGAGUAACACGUGGGUAACUUACCCAUCAGAGGGGGAUAACACUUGGAAACAGGUGCUAAUACCGCAUAACAGUUUAUGCCGCAUGGCAUAAGAGUGAAAGGCGCUUUCGGGGGUCGCUGAUGGAUGGACCCGCGGUGCAUUAGCUAGUUGGUGAGGUAACGGCUCACCAAGGCCACGAUGCAUAGCCGACCUGAGAGGGUGAUCGGCCACACUGGGACUGAGACACGGCCCAGACUCCUACGGGAGGCAGCAGUAGGGAAUCUUCGGCAAUGGACGAAAGUCUGACCGAGCAACGCCGCGUGAGUGAAGAAGGUUUUCGGAUCGUAAAACCCUGUUGUUAGAGAAGAACAAGGACGUUAGUAACUGAACGUCCCCUGACGGUAUCUAACCAGAAAGACACGGCUAACUACGUG